UGGAGAGUUUGAUCCUGGCUCAGAACGAACGCUGGCGGCAUGCCUAACACAUGCAAGUCGAACGAAGGCUUCGGCCUUAGUGGCGCACGGGUGCGUAACGCGUGGGAAUCUGCCCUUGGGUUCGGGAUAACAGUGAGAAAUUACUGCUAAUACCGGAUGAUGACUUCGGUCCAAAGAUUUAUCGCCCAGGGAUGAGCCCGCGUAGGAUUAGCUAGUUGGUGGGGUAAAGGCCUACCAAGGCGACGAUCCUUAGCUGGUCUGAGAGGAUGAUCAGCCACACUGGGACUGAGACACGGCCCAGACUCCUACGGGAGGCAGCAGUGGGGARUAUUGGACAAUGGGCGAAAGCCUGAUCCAGCAAUGCCGCGUGAGUGAUGAAGGCCUUAGGGUUGUAAAGCUCUUUUACCCGGGAAGAUAAUGACUGUACCGGGAGAAUAAGCUCCGGCUAACUCCGUGCCAGCAGCCGCGGUAAU
rnacentral:rRNA from 1 species